GCAGGAAGGACUUGAUAGCUUCAGACAAUUUAGUGAGUAAGGGGACGAUCUUUUGGAGGACUGGGAUGGAGGAACUAUAUCCAAGCAUCUGGACUGGCAUAGAAAAGAGGAGAAAGAACAUUUAAAAGGAGUACAAGAUCCUCAGCAUGAGAGAAUUAUUACUGUGUCUACUAAUGGAAGUAUUCACAGCCCAAGGUUUCCUCAUACUUAUCCAAGAAAUACGGUCUUGGUAUGGAGAUUAGUAGCAGUAGAGGAAAAUGUAUGGAUACAACUUACGUUUGAUGAAAGAUUUGGGCUUGAAGACCCAGAAGAUGACAUAUGCAAGUUAUCAGUACACCGAGGUUUAUGUUCCUGUUCCCAGUAAUUAAAAUCCCACAGGAGAAUCUGAGGAGAGAAGAUUGUUCUUCAUGCAUCAAGCAAUUCACAGAAGCUGUGAGUCCUUCAGUGCUACCCCCUUCAGCUUUGCCACUGGACCUGCUUAAUAAUGCUAUAACUGCCUUUAGUACCUUGGAAGACCUUAUU
rnacentral:sRNA from 1 species